rnacentral:misc_RNA from 1 species
GCCCAUCAUUGACAGAUAUAGAUGUAUGGAAAUAUUAAUCAUGUAUUAACUUUAUGGUUCUCAAUGUUACUUCAGGAGAUUUCUUAGUUUAUAAGUUAGAUCCUCAGAUUUUUGUAGUGGGGUUUAGGUUGAAUUUCUUUUCUGGUUUGGCAUUAAUCAUGUUGUUUUUCUUUCAGUUGUCGAUGAAAUCAACACAUACAUCUGCUGAUGCUGCAGAACAAGGUGAUGUUGUCUGCCAGGAAAUACUAUCUCAUGCAGUUUUUGAUGUUGUGUUAGUACCUUUGUUUCUUCAACUGAUUAAUUUCUUUCACUAUUGUUUUCUCCAGCUCAUACUUUGAUUGAUGUUAAGUGGUAAAUACUUUUAAAAGGAAAAGUUUCAAUCUGUGUUGGGUAGUUUAAUAGUUUGGCAUACUAGGUCCUGGAAAAAAAAAAGCUUCUAUAUUUUCUGCUUUAGACUAAAG